GCCAGCGUAGUGUAGUGGUUUGAGCGUUGGACUACAACUCUGAAGACCAGGGUUCGAAUCUCCACUUGGCC